CACGGGGGGAGCAAGCGUUGUUCGGAAUCACUGGGCGUAAAGGGCGUGUAGGCGGUUAGGUAAGUGGAAUGUGAAAUGCCUCGGCUUACCCGAGGCACUGCAUCCCAAACUGCUUGACUUGAGUACGGGAGAGGAUGAAGGAAUUCCUGGUGUAGCGGUGAAAUGCGUAGAUAUCAGGAGGAACACCGGUGGCGAAAGCGUUCAUCUGGCCCGUAACUGACGCUGAGGCGCGAAAGCUAGGGGAGCAAACGGG
rnacentral:rRNA from 1 species